rnacentral:tRNA from 1 species
GGCCUUGUAGCUCAGCUGGUAUAGCGUACGCCGUACAAAAGCGUAGGCAGCGUCCAUGAGUGGGUUCGAAUCUCACCAAGACUA